rnacentral:rRNA from 1 species
UACGUUCCCGGGCCUUGUACACACCGCCCGUCAAGCCAUGGAAGCUGGGGGUGCCUGAAGUCGGUGGCCGCAAGGAGCUGCCUAGGGUAAAACUAGUAACUAGGGCU